UUUAUCUCGUCAUGCUGCCAGUGAAACAACGCAGCGCGAAAUAGUAAUAGAUUUUUUUGUAAGUAGUCAGUCUGACCUGGGUCCUGGAGAAAAUGUCGAGCCAGAUGAAAGCCUUAUCAUGAGUAGUAGUCAGUAGAAAGCAAAAAAGGUUGGAAAACACUGGGUUAGAGUACCAAUCAGGUGACAUCAGAUAAUCUUCACUGGUGUGAGGAAUCUUCUAGGAAUGGUGACGCUAUUUUCUGGAGAAUUUAUUGAGAAACAUUGAUUAAAGAGCUUCUUUCCAUCCAUUUGAAUAUCAAUGAAAUUCCUCAGGAGGUGUCCUUGAAGCACAGGCAGAUGCCCAAACCCCCUUAACUGGCUCCUUUUGAUGUGGAGGACUAGUGGGUCUGCUCAGUUACUCCACCCACUGGAGCAACCUGCUGCUUGUAUCUGUGAUCUUAUUCUUUCAGAGCCACAGGAAACUAGCAUACUUGAACUCCUCCACUCAAGGCAACAACUCAUCCCUAACCUGGAGCACACAGCCCACCCUUUUCUCCUGCUGACAACUGGAAACUCCAAACUCUGAGCUUCUAGUGGAGAGCCUCACCAAAAGCAACUGGAGGUUUCAGAUUCAGUUCCCCACACAGCCAUUUCUAGAAGACCUUAACCUACCCAGUAGGAGUCAGUGGUUCAGUGACAAGGACACGAUCCCUUAUUGGCUGCUCACACUAGAACACUGCCAGUUUCUGUUUGUUGGACCACAGGACCAAGCUGAAGGCACAGAUGUUGGGAAAUGAACCCUGAACUCAAGUCUGCAGAGAAUUUUGCUCCUGGGUCACUCGAGGUUCCCUACACAAAUCUGUAUCUCAUACAUACAGCACAUAAACUCACUUGUACAACUACACAAAUAGUACACAGGUUUGUAGACAUCGGAAAAUAUAUGUAAACUGCUGGAGGCCUUUAUGCCUUGCUUAAGGGCACAUGGAAGCUCAGCAAUCCUUCACCAGCCUGAACGCUCAGUUUAGGGCAUGUGCUGGCUUGCAUCGUCCUCUAAUCAUGAUUCACAUUCACAGGGCCUGUCAGCCUGCAGUGUAUUUCUCUGAAAUCCCUCUCUGGUCCUGCGUGUGAAGCCAGAGAUUUUUCUGAUAUGGCUCGACUUCAUAACACAGAGGCAUCGUUUGACUCUCCACUACGCCGCUGUCUUCCCAAAUAAAAAUGAGCAGAUAGUCGAUUUCAGCUGACAUUUUUAGAAUGGCUUUUUUGUGUUUGAACUAGGCAGUUGGCGUAACAGUUGGCUUAGCUUUAUGCGAGCAUACUCAUCGGGGCUCAUGUUGCCCACUCAGUGUCUCUCCGCUUUUCUGCUACCUGACUACCAUGUGUACAACACAAGACGAAUUUAGCCUGGGCUUUUACUGGAAGCAGAUUGUAUGGUAUCAUACUGGCGAUACUGUUUGCCACUGAUGACUCUUCAAGUGAGCCCACUCAGCAUCUCUGCUCUUUUCCUCCUCCACCGAGACACAAAAUAUCAAAUAUGAAGGGCCUUUUUGGCUUGUAAGAGGAAAUUCACUGAGAUUAAUUUUUCUACUAUUCUCUUUUAAUUUCUUCCACUUUCCCUCUCCUCCUUCAGCCACACGGAUCUCUAUUGCUUCAUUUAGCAUCAUGUGAUUGUGUGUUGUUUGGUUUCCAUCUGCAGGAACUUUAUGUAAGCAGCCAAAGAAAGAAGACGCAAUGGGAACUUUAUAUAUGAAAUAACAAUCUAGAUGAAACUCAAGCUUUCUUGGUCUCUUUCCCAGCUGUAGCCAUAACUUGAAAAAAGUCAUAAUCCCCCACUCAUCAAGAAGACUUCAUUGUAAAUGUCACCUUUCAACAGAUACAGUCAUUACUCACCACUGCAGUCUUCUGACCAUUUUAGCUUCUGAAAUAAAUUUAAUUACCAGAUAAUUGAUCAGUUGAAUCUUCUAAGAAAGUUCCUGCUAUCCUAUUUUCUCUGUGUUAUCCUGACACCUUUGCGCUUCUUACCUAUGAUCAUCAAACUCUUCUGAAUCUCCAGCCAUUGACUCACCAAACGCCUGGUUUCAAGUGGCAAUCAGGGAACUUUUUCUCAACUCCGACGGAUAUCUCUGAUCAUUUACGCCACUUUCCAGCUACCAUUCCACCUAGGAAACGUCAUAGGAGACGGGGUAAACGGAGCGGUAUUCGUGUUCACCUCAAGGCUUACUUAAACUCACUUGAUGCGACCAGCUACCACAUAUUUGUAAAUACUCUAUCUUCUUCUCAUGCUCUCGGGGGCCGCUUCUGCUAUAGAUUGCCCUGCCAUCGCUGGAUAAGUCCUGUUGGACGCUAUGCUCACCCAGACUCCCCGGCAGAGUGCCCACCUGUUCGGAGCUGGGUGCGGCUUUCCAGAGGUGGUGUGAACUACAGCAAUCUUCGCCUGCUGAGAUCUGUUCCAACUAGCAACAACCCGACUACACUUCGGAUGGCUUUGCUAAAUGUUAGAUCGCUGGCAAACAAGACUUUUAUUUUAAACGACUUUUUCGUCUCAACUGGGCUGGAUUUUCUUUAUCUGACGGAAACCUGGCUUCGUCCUGAGGAAUCUUCUGCUUUUUCAGAACUUCUUCCCCCAGAUUGUGCCUUUGCUAGCUCUCCUAGGAUCUCUGGCAGAGGUGGAGGAUUGGCUUU